UGAAACGCGGCGUUUUGUAUUAGUUAGCGUGAGUGUUGCUUCGCUUCUCUAGGGCGACUUCCGUUGCGCAGCCGAUCUUUCGUCUCUUUCGUCGUGCGAUGCCAGUAACCGAUCGUCUUUAAGCCCUCAUAAAUAGAUCACCCACGAUCUAGAUUGAAUGCUAGAUUUUUGUUUCCCAAGGCGGUGGAGUCGAGUAUAUGAAGGCACCUAAGAUGCCCCUUCAAAUCGUCCACUUUAAUAUUGCUUGCGUUGUUUCUCAAACAAGUUCCCUCAUCAUGGCAAUUUUCCAGCUUCAACCGAAACCGAUGGAGAGUUUCAGAUUCUGGAAUUAUGAACAACUGAUUGUACUGGCCAACACGAAUACUGAUUGUCCAGGUGCUAAAGCUAAUGUAUUUUUUUCUGGUGACAAAGGUUCUCUCUCAUCACUUCUUUGGGAGAUGUAACGUGUAUGGCCACAACAUCGUUUGAUAUGCAGGUAGAAGCUUGGCCAAGGAAGAUGGGAUUGUUGCUGGAAUUCCUCUUGCUGAGAUGAUAUUUGAAGAAGUUGAUCUCUCUUUGAAGGUUGAAUGGAUGCGCAAGGAUGGAGAUUAUGUUCAUAAAGGGUUCUUGAGACAAAAAAAAACUGCUUCUGGUUUGAGAUUAGUAGAUAAAUGAGCGGUACAUUCUAAACUUCUUCCUUCCACCUCCACUUAAAUGGACACAUUUGUUAAAUCUCAUCCAUAAGAUUCCGAGGUUAAUAUCUUUCUGAUACUAAAGUCUGCAGAGAACUAAAUAUGAUUGGCCUAAAGGAUGUUUCCGAAUGGGUGCUGCUUGACUUUGAACACAAACAUUAUAAUUCACUGAGUUAUUAAUGAAUCUCCAGCUAUUUGUUGAGACAGCCAAUGCUUUUUACGAGGGAGUAAAGCAAAUAGAUCAUUGAUGCGUAAAUGCUUUUUAAUCCUUUUUUCAAGAUAGUUGAAAUGUUUUCUUUCUUCUACAGAAACUGUAGAUGCUCGAAGAAGUUUCACUGCAAGGACAAAAGUAAGGCCAAACCAUAAGAUCUUCUAGAGAUGGUUGUUUAGUAUAUUUAUGAAAUUUUGAUUUUGUUUCUUACCUUGGUCUCUCCCGUAUGCAGUUGUUGCCUAUCUAUACUUAAAUGUAAAAACUUCAGUCCCAUGGUUUUGUUUGUGUUCUGAUUUUGUCACUAUGUUCGGAUGUACAUCUUUUGAUAUUUUUUAAACUGUAAAAUAAUAAUUUUAUUUGUUUUAGUUAACAUUUUAUA